GUGCUCGCUCGGCAGCACAGAUACUAAAAUUGGAACGAUACAGAGAUCAGCAUGGCCCCUGAGCAAGGAUGACAUGAAAUUUGUGAAGCGUUCCACAUUUAA
rnacentral:snRNA from 1 species